GAUGAUUCCAAUUAUCGCUUGUUCUUUGAAUGCACCUUUUGGGGAGCUGGGAUGUGAGUGGCUGAGUGAACGAGGGGGCGGGGGGAGAGAGAGGAAGUGAGCCCCUGUGUGUGUGUGUGUGUGGAGAGCUGGAAGAUGAAUGAAUGAGAGGAGCCUGAUAAGCUUUGACCCAUUUUUUGUUGUGUUUGGCGUGGUUACGGCCGACAGUAACCGCAGUUCUGUACGGGAAUAAAGCGGCUAACAAGAAAGAAGGUUGUCGUCCUUUCCAGCGUUCUGUGGGACGCUACAUUGGUGUCAGAAGUAAAAGCGAGAGCACCGGACUGCUGACCGCAGCUGGCGACACUGCUCAUCAGCCUAAAGAGAGGAUGGCAGCUGGAAGUGGGGCCGGUGCCCGGCCGAGAGUUAAGCAGGAAGCUAUGGACAGUGAGUACACUGGUUCUCCGAGACGUGGGAGUGACUUUGACCGGACGGAGGAGCACAAGGCUCGCCUUAGACGGACGGCCAGGAAGCUAGCAGCUGACGCCGGGUUCGGUCAGCGUGGCGCGGAGCGGCGCUCCGACGCGGGAAAUCACACCGGAAGUGACGCGGCACCAGAUGUAAACAAAUAUGGCGGCGCCCUGUGUAUCCGUCCACAUGUAAAAACGCCAAAAUACUCCGGUAAGGCGGACUGGGAGGCCUUUCAUGCCCAAUUUGAACUAUUGGCACGUGCAGAAGCCUGGCCUGUGGACACUAAAGCACUCCAAUUAGCCCUUUGCCUCACUGAUGAUGCCCUGGCAUGCUUGCUGUUGUUGAGCCCGGCUGAAAGAGAUGAUUAUGGGGCUCUGGUUGGAGCCCUACAGCGGCGAUUUGGACAGUGUACACAGCCUAGUGUCCUGCGCACAGAGCUGACAAACAGGCAGAGACAAUCAGGUGAACCACUACGAGUUCUGGCCAAUGACAUUGAGACUCUGGCGAGGAAAGCUUAUGCCCACAUGCCCACUUAUGUGCAAGAUGAGCUAGCCAGAGACCAGUUUAUUAGAGCCAUAACCCCUAGAGAGCUACGCAUUCAAACGCAGCUGGCACACCCCCGCAGUUUACAAGAAGCUUUGGAGCUGGCUGUGGAAAGAGAAGCUGUGGGGACUGCUGCUGAGAGUGACCAUGGUCGAAGCGGACCUGUCGUGAGAACCGUGACCCAGCAAGACUCAGGUCAAGAGAAGCCAGUCUGGGCUGCUGAGUUAACGGAAAUGAUCAGAGCCGUGUCGCUGCAGUCGACAGGCGGCAACGCCCGCCCUCGCC
rnacentral:lncRNA from 1 species